UUAACUAAAUGAAUGCGGUGCUUGCACCAAGUGAUUUUAGAGCGGUGAGCGGCGGAUGGGUGAGUAACACGUGGGUAACCUGCCUCUAAGCAGGGGAUAACAUUUGGAAACAGAUGCUAAUACCGUAUAAAUCCUAAAACCACAUGGUUUUAGGCUGAAAGGCGGCUUCGGCUGUCACUUAGAGAUGGACCCGCGGCGUAUUAGCUAGUUGGUGAGGUAAUGGCUCACCAAGGCAAUGAUACGUAGCCGAACUGAGAGGUUGAUCGGCCACAUUGGGACUGAGACACGGCCCAAACUCCUACGGGAGGCAGCAGUAGGGAAUCUUCCACAAUGGACGCAAGUCUGAUGGAGCAACGCCGCGUGAGUGAAGAAGGCUUUCGGGUCGUAAAACUCUGUUGUUGAAGAAGAACACGUUUGAGAGUAACUGUUCAGACGUUGACGGUAUUCAACCAGAAAGCCACGGCUAACUACGUGCCAGCAGCCGCGGUAAUACGUAGGUGGCAAGCGUUAUCCGGAUUUAUUGGGCGUAAAGCGAGCGCAGGCGGUUUUUUAAGUCUGAUGUGAAAGCCCUCGGCUUAACCGAGGAAGUGCAUCGGAAACUGGGAAACUUGAAUGCUGAAGAGGACAGUGGAACUCCAUGUGUAGCGGUGAAAUGCGUAGAUAUAUGGAAGAACACCAGUGGCGAAGGCGGCUGUCUGGUCAGUUAUUGACGCUGAGGCUCGAAAGCAUGGGUAGCGAACAGGAUUAGAUACCCUGGUAGUCCAUGCCGUAAACGAUGAAUACUANGUGUUGGAGGGUUUCCGCCCUUCAGUGCCGCAGCUAACGCAUUAAGUAUUCCGCCUGGGGAGUACGACCGCAAGGUUGAAACUCAAAGGAAUUGACGGGGGCCCGCACAAGCGGUGGAGCAUGUGGUUUAAUUCGAAGCAACGCGAAGAACCUUACCAGGUCUUGACAUCUUCUGCUAUUUCUAGAGAUAGAAAGUUCCCUUCGGG
rnacentral:rRNA from 2 species